rnacentral:rRNA from 1 species
ACUCAAAGGAAUAGACGGGGACCCGCACAAGCGGUGGAUGAUGUGGUUUAAUUCGAUGCAACGCGAAAAACCUUACCUACCUUUGACAUGUACGGAACUGGCCAGAGAUGGCUGGGUGCUCGAAAGAGAGCCGUAACACAGGUGCUGCAUGGCUGUCGUCAGCUCGUGUCGUGAGAUGUUGGGUUAAGUCCCGCAACGAGCGCAACCCUUGUCAUUAGUUGCCAUCAUUUGGUUGGGCACUCUAAUGAGACUGCCGGUGACAAACCGGAGGAAGGUGGGGAUGACGUCAAGUCCUCAUGGCCCUUAUAGGUAGGGCUACACACGUCAUACAAUGGAUGGUACAAAGGGUUGCCAACCCGCGAGGGGGAGCCAAUCCCAUAAAGCCAUUCGUAGUCCGGAUCGCAGUCUGCAACUCGACUGCGUGAAGUCGGAAUCGCUAGUAAUCGUGGAUCAGAAUGUCACGGUGAAUACGUUCCCGGGUCUUGCACACACCGCCCGU